rnacentral:rRNA from 1 species
GUAUGCAACCUACCUUAAUCAGGGGGAUAGCCUCUCGAAAGAGAGAUUAACACCGCAUAACAUCAUUUUACGGCAUCGUAGAAUGAUCAAAUAUUUAUAGGAUUAAGAUGGGCAUGCGUGACAUUAGCUAGUUGGUGAGGUAAUGGCUCACCAAGGCUACGAUGUCUAGGGGAUCUGAGAGGAUGACCCCCCACACUGGUACUGAGACACGGACCAGACUCCUACGGGAGGCAGCAGUAAGGAAUAUUGGUCAAUGGAGGCAACUCUGAACCAGCCAUGCCGCGUGCAGGAUGACGGCCCUAUGGGUUGUAAACUGCUUUUAUACGGGAAUAAACCUCUCUACGUGUAGGGAGUUGAAUGUACUGUAAGAAUAAGGAUCGGCUAACUCCGUGCCAGCAGCCGCGGUAAUACGGAGGAUCCAAGCGUUAUCCGGAUUUAUUGGGUUUAAAGGGUGCGUAGGCGGCCUAUUAAGUCAGGGGUGAAAGACGGUGGCUCAACCAUCGCAGUGCCCUUGAUACUGAUGGGCUUGAUUACACUUGAGGUAGGCGGAAUGUGACAAGUAGCGGUGAAAUGCAUAGAUAUGUCACAGAACACCAAUUGCGAAGGCAGCUUACUAAGGUGUCAAUGACGCUGAGGCACGAAAGCGUGGGGGAUCAAACAGGAUUAGAUACCCUGGUAGUCCACGCCCUAAACGAUGAAUACUCGAUGUUAGCGAUAUAC